GUGUUUAUUUACAGCAAAAAUUAUUCUCAUACUCUUCUAUGAGCAAAAUAUCCCUUUCUAAAUUAUGCUAGUCUCAUUUAUAGUGGACACAGACUAUUUGGCAAGAUAUUGGUAAUUAUUCUCACUAAUGAGCUACUAAAUUGUAAUUUAGUAUUAUAAGUGCAGUGACAAAGAACGUGAAUAACUUACAACAUGCAAACAGUAAAGUGAAAAUAGACGUAUGAAUGUAAUUUUGAAAAUAGAAAAGGAUACCUGAAAAUUCGAACAUGAGCCUCCUGACUGGAAACCACAUCACCCGAGCAGUGUGGCUGCGCUACGGCCAACAACAGCUUUGAUUCUGUUGGACUCUUAAAAAUUUGCCUCUAGUCACAUGCAGUGACUUCCUCUGAAAUGCGUGUUAGUUCUGUCACUCAGCACCAGGAGAGCAGAAUGAGGCCCCAGGUAUUGCUAUGGCAGCUAAAGGGAGGAAGAGGGAGGGAGGAAGGCUCCUCCAGAGCGGUGUGGUGUGCGAGAUCGUACAGAAAUGCUGGAUGUUCUGACGGCAGUCUUGAAAAAAAAGCAGCAGCGGUUCUUGCAAAACCAGAUCGCCUCAGUGAGGGUCCCAAAUGACUCAGAUCCAGCUUUCUCUGAUAAAUUUUCAAAUGACUAAAGAUAACUCUAGGCCAUUCUUUUCUCAUAUAUCAGCUGAGUAUCAGCUCUUUUCAAAAACCAUUCUUGAAACGGAGGUCGUCUCUGGUAAGAUGCCUUCAGAACUCUUAACUCUUCUCUACAAGUAAAGACCUAAUGAUACGGAUUUUUUUAAACAAAAAUACAGAAUUUUUAGAGUAAUUGAAAUCAAAUACGUUGGCAGAUGCAUAAGAGAGUAUUUGCAAUUUGAAUAUUGUCUCUUCCCGAGAAGUUUUUUUUUUUUGUAGUAUUCCUGCUUUAUUCGAGAAGUUUUCUGCUGAGUGCACUACUACACCCUCAGCUGUCAAUGCCAUGAAUUACUGCGUACAGGAACAGAAGAGCUGCUGUUUUCUUCCUCUAGGUGGAAAACUGGAUAUAGAGAGCUGAUAAACAGAAUUUGACCUUCGUGCUCAUGUGGACCCAUGCUACCGCCUCUGAAGAUCAGCACCCCUAUCACAAGGAGGCAACUACACUCUUCAUGAACUCAGUCAGGAGCAGCACAUUUCCUGUGCCAGCCAAAUGGUUAAAUCCAGGCACUGUGGAUUUUUUCUGCAGCCAAAGGAGAUUUAUUCAAUGGGAUUUAAGCUUUUGUUUUAUUUUUCAAGUCUUCCUUGAAAUGUAGCUGAUGGAAUAUUAUACAAGAAGUAAAGAGAACAAUAAGGAGAGAACAAUAAGGAAAGGACAAUAUGGAAAAGUCUCGUGUGAACUAUUCAUUUUGAUCACUGAUUUUUCAAGCCAGUCAACAGUGCGAUGAAAAUGUAGAUGUUUGCCAUUGCAGUGGUCGCUCAGACAGUACUAGCUUUUGUGUCUGCCUGGUGACGUACACCGAAGAAAAACUGCUGCCUGGGGAAUACAGACACAAGCCCUUGUUGUCGCUCCUCGGCACUUCCCACAUGCUUAGAAACUUGGGGCUCUACACACGCGAGAGGGAAGGAAAAAGAAGCUGCAGAAGGCAGCUGCCACGUCUUGACCCCCUGGAUGUGCUGUCUUUACACGUUCCUUGCCGAGACUGCUAACGGUAGUGGGAUGUAUUGAAAGGCAGGACAACGCCGUGCGCCAGCAAAUGUGGGUUAUAAUGCUAAAACUCUGGGUAGCCAUAUAUUUGUUGACAAAGUGACUUUUUUGACAAAAAUCUAGCUGAACCAAGUUAUAGUAACUGCUGUAGCAAAGAACAGCGCGUGCACGUACGUCCUGGGCUGUCUGGAAACCAAGCCCUUACGCACAAGUGACGUGACCUGUGGCAGAAAGGAAACUGAAUUGACUGCUUCAGAUAAAAUCUUGUCAUGUUAUUAUCAAUAUCUGUGUGCUGGUACUUUGCUCUGAGAUAAAGAUGAGAAGUUUUCGUUGUGUGUUUUGUUGAAAGAAGCAGCAUUUGUUCCCUCUGGCUCUGAGAAACGUCUAGACGCCAGGACGAAGCACACUUGGUUGAAUUCCCAGCUCUGCUUUGGCUGCCAGCGUCAGGAAGGCUCCUUUGGACUGUACUUCACUGCAGCAUGAAUGUGACUUUCUUGUCUUUCCAUCGGUAACCAAAAAGUGGUUUACGUGAGUCUGAACGUGUUGUAACAACUUACAUGUUAAAACAUGCAAGAGCUUCUCUAGACAGAGAGAUUCAGAAAGCUGAAGCAAAGCAUUUAGGGUGAUACACAUAAAUGAGAAGUUUUAGCGCCUCUAUGAUUUCUUUCUGAUUCAUAUGUGAAUAAAAUGACCUUAGCUCAGGUUAUUUCAGUAGCAAUCUAAAAGUAUGCCUUUCCCUCCAGGAGAUUACAGGUAAGAAAUGCAUAUGCCAGCCAAAGGUUCUCACUUUUUGGUAGGAUGUCAUCUUGGGAACUACUGAAGUAAUGUAAUAUUUAUCCUGCAAGAUGUAAGCUCUUUCAGACUUCAAUAUUAUUUUAUUGAAUUUUAUUGACGUUUUAACUGUUUCAAUGUUUCCACAUAACAGAAAUAUGGACAUAGGUCAAAAUCGUGGCUCUACUGAAUACUGUGAAGCAAGGAUUUCUCUAGAAGAUUUUUACUUAAAGGAUGACAAUGUUUUCAAUCUUUGCAAAGAAAUAGUUGGUGUGAAAUAUUCUUUGGGUCACAACAGCUACAGUGAAGACAAGAAUCUUGACUAUGAAGCAGUUUCAGCUUAGUCAAGAGAGAGAAUUUUUUUUUUUUAGUCAGCUUCCCAUCCAAACUGCCACGGCCUUGGUUUAUUUCUCUUGCUGUCAUCUCCCGAUGUUUUCAUUUUUCUUGAAGUUUUCUGCUAAAUUUAUGUUGUUUUGACGUAAAGAUAUGUUUUGAUAACUUCUUGAAUAUGCUUCAGUUUGUUUGGACAGACAUUAUGGAAGAAAAAUAUAUUUAUAUAGAAAUGUUUAUUUGUAGUGGCAGUUUUGUAAUUUUUGAUGUGUAUAUUUAAUAGUGUGCCUGUUAUUUAUGAUGUAGUUUUGUGUUCUAGCUUAGAAUUCUGCAUCUCUGUUUAGAUCUGACCACUCUGCAUUCUUUUUAUUGACGAAAUUUUAACCUCGCUGACCCGUAAAAAUCCUCAUAAGCUCGAAUUCUUUGCAAGGUCUUCUAAGCAAAACA